GGUGUUGCUCAGUGGUAAAGCACAUGCUUGGCAUGCAUGAGGUCCUGGGUUCAAUCCCCAGCACC
rnacentral:tRNA from 1 species